UUGCUGCUUACUGGGUGGGAGAGUGGGAGGGGUGAGGCAGCAGGGAGUUCAGUGCUGUGCAGAUGCACCGACAGAGUCAAUAUGGCAUUCCUGCUGGUGCAUUUGCACAGCACUGACCUCCCUAUCACUUCGCUCCUCUAUCUCUCCGUCCCAGCAAGCGGCA